rnacentral:rRNA from 1 species
GCCAGCAGCCAUAUCACCCUGCAGCUCACAACUGGUAACCCACUGCAGCUAAGCAGGUGUGAGCCUGGUCAGUACCUGGAUGAGAGACUCUCUGGAAAAGGUUGCUGCUGGAA